UGCGUAAUAGCUCACUGGUCGAGUGACUCUGCGCGGAAAAUAUAACGGGGCUAAGCGUAACACCGAAGCUUGGGCUGCACAGCAAUGUGCGGGGUAGGGGAGCGUCGAAUAUGGGGUGAAGUCGCAGCGGAAGCAGCGGUGGACUGUAUUCGAGUGAGAAUGCCGGAAUGAGUAGCGAGAAUUAUGUGGGAAUCAUAAUGGCCGAAAAUCUAAGGUUUCCUGGGGAAGGUUCGUCCGCCCAGGGUAAGCCGGGAGCUAAGGCGAGGCCGAAAGGCGUAGUCGAUGCACAUACGGUUGAAAUUCCGUAGCCACCGAACCUUAAGUACACUGACACAUGGAGAUAGCGGGACCCGGGCGUUGGUUGACCCGGGCGUAAGGGACCGAACUUUAGUAGGGAAGUCCGCGAUGCUCUGUGGCGAGAAAAGGUGUAUGGUAUGCUAAGGUGCCCGUACCGCAAACCGACACAGGUAGAUGAGGAGAGAAUCCUAAGGCCAACGGGAGAAGGGUUGUUAAGGAACUCGGCAAAAUGACCCCGUAACUUCGGGAUAAGGGGAGCCUCCUACGGGAGGCCGCAGCGAAUAGGCCCAAGCGACUGUUUACCAAAAACACAGGUCUCUGCUAAAUCGAAAGAUGACGUAUAGGGGCUGACGCCUGCCCGGUGCUGGAAGGUUAAGAGGAGAUGUUAGCCGCAAGGCGAAGCAUUGAAUCGAAGCCCCAGUAAACGGCGGCCGUAACUAUAACGGUCCUAAGGUAGCGAAAUUCCUUGUCGGGUAAGUUCCGACCCGCACGAAAGGUGUAACGAUUUGGGCACUGUCUCAACAAAGGAUCCGGUGAAAUUGUAGUAGUCGUGAAGAUGCGACUUACCCACGCUAGGACGGAAAGACCCCGUGGAGCUUUACUGUAGGCUGAGAUUGAAUUUUGGGAUUAAAUGUACAGAAUAGGUGGGAGGCAGAGAAUUAGGUACGCCAGUAUCUAAGGAGCCACCGUUGGGAUACCACUCUUUUAAUGCUAGAAUUCUAACCUAACCCCAUGAAUCUGGGGAAGGGACACUCUCAGUUGGACAGUUUGACUGGGGCGGUCGCCUCCGAAAGAGUAACGGAGGCGUUCAAAGGUUCCCUCAGCACGGAUGGAAAUCGUGCGCAGAGUAUAAAGGCAGAAGGGAGCUUAACUGCGAGACCAACAAGUCGAGCAGAUGCGAAAGCAGGACUUAGUGAUCCGGUGGUACCGAGUGGAAGGGCCAUCGCUCAACGGAUAAAAGCUACCCCGGGGAUAACAGGCUUAUCUCCCCCAAGAGUCCACAUCGACGGGGAGGUUUGGCACCUCGAUGUCGGCUCAUCACAUCCUGGGGCUGUAGUAGGUCCCAAGGGUUGGGCUGUUCGCCCAUUAAAGUGGUACGCGAGCUGGGUUCAGAACGUCGUGAGACAGUUCGGUCCCUAUCCGUCGCAGGCGUAGGAAAUUUGAGGAGACCUGUCCUUAGUACGAGAGGACCGGGAUGGACGUACCGCUGGUGUACCAGUUGUUCUGCCAAGGGCAUUGCUGGGUAGCUAUGUAGGGAAGGGAUAAACGCUGAAAGCAUCUAAGUGUGAAGCCCACCUCAAGAUGAGAUUUCCCAUUUCU
rnacentral:rRNA from 1 species